rnacentral:rRNA from 1 species
CACGUAGGGGGCAAGCGUUGUCCGGAUUCAUUGGGCGUAAAGAGCUCGUAGGCGGUUCGAUAAGUCGGGUGUGAAACCUCCAGGCUCAACCUGGAGACGCCACCCGAUACUGUCGGUGACUAGAGUCCAAGUAGGGGAGCGUGGAAUUCCUGGUGUAGCGGUGAAAAUGCGCAGAUAUCAGGAGGAACACCGGUGGCGAAGGCGGGUCUCUGGGCCGAUACUGACGCUGG